ACUGAUAUUUAUUAUUUUGUAUUUUAUAUCGCGUGUGCAUGGGUGGGUGUCCAUUAUUUCAGGAGAGAGAAGUGAAGAAUGAGUGGAAUCUUGCACUCUGCCUCCAAAUGAUCACCCAUCAGUACAUUCAGAUUCAAAUACGAAGUGGAAAAGAUAAAAUCCAUGGAGAAGCUGCGUUCCUGGAGGCUCACCGUUCAUGUAGACCUACUCAUUCCCCCGAGCACGCUGAGUCCAGCCUUGCAGAUAAAGAAUUUCAUCCAGAAAGAAAAGGUUUCCUCAUUCAAAAGUGUGCUGAAAAUACUGUGCAUGUGUGAAUUCAAGAAUAACCAGGGAGUGGGCGAGGUCGAGGUUUGAAUUAUCCUGUCACAUGCCCUCCCCGUAACACCUGUUUGGCGGUCUCUGUGAUGCAGUGAGACACACCCGGAAACAGCCUCGCGGAGUGCUCAUCCUUCUGUGAUGCGGUGAAACACACCCGGAAACAGCCUCGCUGAGUGCUCAUCCUUCUGUGAUGCAGUGAGACACACCCGGAAACAGCCUCGCUGAGUGCUCAUCCUUCUGUGAUGCGGUGAGACAUACCCGGAAACAGCCUCGCUGAGUGCUCAUCCUUCUGUGAUGCGGUGAGACACGCAGGAGAAGCGGUGAGCUGAGUGCUCAUCCUUCUGUGAUGCGGUGAGACGCACCCGGAAACAGCCUCACUGAGUGCUCAUCCUUCUGUGAUGCGGUGAUACACACACGGAAACAGCCUCACGCGGUGAGACGCACCCGGAAACAGCCUUGCAGAGUGCUCAUCCCGCGCUGGGUCUUCUUGAUCUAGUUUUGGAAAAACAUCGUACCGGAGGAGGCAGGGGCCCCUAAACCAGUGAGAGACA
rnacentral:lncRNA from 1 species